ACCACAUCCAAACCCAUUAGCACGUUAAAUAAAACUGAUGGCAUUGUACACUUCCAUCCAUUAUCGCAUUUUCAAGCAGACUGGAUGCUAAUUAUGGCGCUAAUUAGACUUUUUCUAAUGAAAAAUGCUGCAAUUUGAAAUUCAACCAAAAUGUUCGAGAAAAAUAUUCCUGAAAAGUCAAACAAAAUUUCAUUAUGAUUUGGAAUGUAUGAGAUUUAGCUUAAUUGGUAUCUAUAACAUAACUUAUUUGCUUUUUUUCCCUCUAAGGCAGGGAAGAAAGUGUUGCAAUAAUUGCAGAACUGGAACCUAACAGAAAUGAGUCUGCACACAUUUACCAUCCUAUAAUUGAAAAAAAAAGAAA